GCAUCGGUGGUUCAGUGGUAGGAUUCUCGCCUGCCACGCGGGUGACCCGGGUUCGAUUCCCGGCCGAUGCA
rnacentral:tRNA from 1 species